rnacentral:tRNA from 2 species
GCCCGCUUAGCACAGUGGUACUGCGUCGCACUCGUAAUGCGAAGAUCCACGGUUCGAUUCCGUGAGCGGGCA